rnacentral:lncRNA from 10 species
GCCUGGCUCAUUUUUGUAUUUUUGGUAGAGACAGGGUUUCACCAUGUCGGCCAGGCUGGUCUUGAACUCCCGACUUCAGGUGAUCCGCCAGCCUCGGCCUCCCAAAGUGGUGGGGUUACAUGUGUGAGCCACCGUGCCCAGCCAGCUGUGUCUUCUUUUUGCAGGAUUUACUUACAAAAUUCCUUGCAGCUGCAGUCUGCGUUCCACCCACAUCCUAAUAUGGUGUUUGCGGUGGUCACAUCCAACUUCCUUCCUCCUCCAUCCAUGGAACGUGCAUUAGGGAGGAACCACACGCACCACGUGCAAGAUGAGCCAGUUCCCUGAACGGCCGGCCACGGCGUUAACCGCGCUGCUCUGGGCUCUGCACGUCUCAUCUGCUGAGGCGCAUUACUGCAUCUUUCAUGCAGAACUUGCUUUCCAUGCCUCACAUCUCCACAUGUGUGGGGAUAUGUCCUGAGAAAUGCACGGUUAGGUGAUUCUGUCGUGUGAGCAUCCUUGAAUGUGCUUACACAGUCAUAAAUGGUACAGCCUACCACACGCCGAGGCUAUACGGUAUAGCCCAUUGCUCCUAGACUAUACACCUGCACGGCAUGUUCCUGUAGUGAAAGCUGUAGGCAAUUAUAACGCAAUGGAUAGGUUAAAGACAGAGUUUUAGUAAAAAUAUGGCAUAAUAGGCCAGGCGUGGUGGCUCAUGCCUGUAAUCCCAGCACUUUGGGAGGCCAAGGCAGGCAGAUCACAAGGUCAGGAGUUUGAGACCAGCCUGGCCAAUAUGGUGAAACCCAGUCUCUACUAAAAAUACAAAAAUUA